UAUCUCCCAUUCAUACGAAUGAAGGAUUCCAUUUAUCACACACAUGCAAUGCACACACAUGUGAUAUCAUGCCAAUAUACAUAUGCAUUUAUCACACAUGUAGCAAGUUUCAAUGUUAGAACACAUCUGAUACAUGCAGUGAGUUUUAUGUCAAUAUAUAUUUAUCACACACAUGCAGUGAGUUUCAGUGCCAGUACGCAUUGCACACAUGUAAUGAGUUUCAGUGCCAGUACGCAUUUAUCACAUGCAUGUAGUGAGUUUAAAUGCCAGUACACAUCACACACAUGUAGUGAGUUUCAAUGUCAGUACAGAUCAUACACAUGUAGUGAGUUUCAAUGCCAGUACAGAUUUACCACACACAUGUAGUGAGUUUCAAUGUCAAUACAGAUUUAUCACACACAUGUAGUGAGUUUCAAUGUCAAUACAGAUUUAUCACACACAUGUAGUGAGUUUCAAUGUUAAUACAGAUUUAUCACACACAUGUAGUGAGUUUCAAUGUCAAUACAGAUUUAUCACACACAUAUAUUGAGUUUCAAUGUCAAUACAGAUUUAUCACACACAUAUAUUGAGUUUCAAUGUCAAUACAGAUUUAUCACACACAUAUAUUGAGUUUCAAUGUUAAUACAGAUUUAUCACACACAUGUAGUGAGUUUCAAUGUCAAUACAGAUUUACCACACACAUGUAGUGAGUUUCAAUGUUAAUACAGAUUUAUCACACACAUGUAGUGAGUUUCAAUGUCAAUACAGAUUUAUCACACACAUGUAGUGAGUUUCAAUGCCAGUACAGAUUUAUCACACAUGUAGUGAGUUUCAUUGUCAAUACAGAUUUUUCACACACUUAAACUGUAGUGAGUUUCAAUGUCAAUACAAAGUGAUCAAUUCUUUUGAGAAGCCUGUAGUAACCAACCAUGUUGAUAUCCAAGAACUUUUUAACAUUGUUAUCUCUUUCUAAAAUAUUCAAAGUUUAUAUUUGGAUUUCAAAAAUCUUUUGUCUCUCAAUCAACACAUUGAAAUUUGGUUUAAAGCAUGUUGAAUUUAAUUUCACAAUCUUGAUAUGAUUUAAUUUUGAUGAUUUCAAAAAUAACAUUCCUACUCACCACCCUGCACCUCAGAAAUUAAAAUGUAACUUAGAAAUAAUGAAUGCAUUUAAAAAAAAAAGAUUUAAGAACAUUCGAUAUUUAAAAUGAUUGGACCAGUAUUUCCUAAUGUGAAAUAAUGUUAACGUGUACUGUGUUGUGCGGCGUGAAGACAAAAUGUUCGGUAAUAAAAAAAGGCUAUAUUUAACGAGGAAAAUGUUUUUGAACAGGUAUUGACCAUAUAUUACACAGAUAAGUUAAAUAGUCAACUUAAUAAUUUUCAAAUGAUUAGGUCACUAAAGAUCAUUUUGGAAAGAUCAAGGUCACUCAACAUGUACCUUAUAUAGAAAAGUCAACCUUUAUUUCAAAAGUUAUAUAUCAUUGUGCAAGUCAUUUGUUACAUGAAGUAGUUCAACUUCAUUGGUUAGAUGCAGUUUGGGGAAGUAAUUACUAAUAUUCUUGUUAUUGGAUUUCACUCAAAUAGAGACAUCAACACUUGCCUGAGUCCCCACAUACACAGGGUGGCAGUAACUUGUUUAUGUGUUUGGAAAACGCGAGAUGUAUAUUACAUAUUUAAAGUUCAUUUACAUUUUGUUAAUAGUAACUUACAGCAGUACAAAAAUUUUAAAGCUUUAUCUCUUCAAUGUUGUAGACUAUUCAGAGGGAAUGCAGAUACUGAGACAUCCUAGCUCAUCUAGGAAGUCGGGAAGAAAAAAGCGAGCCAAUGUUCAGUGCCACACUUGGACCACUGCAGAAAAGGCAGCUUUGUAAAGACAAUUUGAGACUUUCAUCAAACUAGGAAAAACUCUGGCUCAGGUUGACUGUCUAAAAUCCAUUUGGAAGGAGAAAUCACUGUCCAGUUUAACAUGGUGUCGUGGAAAGUUUGCUGUUAAAAUAUUACUUCCUUGCAGAGAUGUUACAAAGAGUUAAUCCAAUUUUUAUGCCCCCUCCAUUUGAAAGAGAGGGGACGUAUAUAUUGUUUUACAUGACUAAUUCGGUCUGUAGAGCAAAUCUUGUCUGCUCAAUAUCUAAUGAAUUCUUUUGCUUGACUGUUUCCAAACUUGGUACAAUGAUUGCCCCUAGAUAGUGAAUGACCCAUAUUAAUUUACAGGUCACAGGGUCAAGGGUCAAACUGGACACAGUAAGAUAUUGUCUGUUCAAUAUCUUGAGAACGCUUUCCUGACAGACAUCAAACUCGGUAUACUGGUUUCUUUUAAGAAGUAGAUGGUUUCUUUUAAGAAGUAUAUGUCCCAUAAUGUCCCCUAUUCAUUUUGAAGUCACAAGGACAAAGGUCAAACUGUACAUAAUAAAGAUAUUGUCUACACAAUAUCUUGAGUUUGUGUUUCUUGACAGACAUCAAACUUGGUACACUGACACAUCAUAAGUGUAGAUAUCUAGUAUUCAUUUUAAGGUCAAUGGUCAAACUACUCUGGACAUCAGAUUUUGUCCAUUCAGUAUCUUGAGAACCCUUGUUUGACAAACAUCAAACUUGGUAGUCUGAUGCCGCCUAAAGAAUAGAUGGCCCCCAUUGGUUUUAAACUCUCAAGGUCAAAGGUCAGGACUCAAAUAACUGGUUAUUUGAAAAUGUCUGCUUAGAACCUUUAGAAAUCACAUAUAAUGGUUGCCUCUGACUAAUAGAUACAUUGUAACCCUUAAUUUUCACUUUUGCUACAAACAUUCUAAAUGAUCAUUUUCAAUAUUGUAAUAUGGAGGCAUAUAUGUUUCUUAAAUCUUUCUUGUAAAUGGUUUUGAUUCUAGUUUUAUAUACAAGAUGUAUUAUCAGCAUUUGUCAUUCAUUGUGCACCAUACAUUGGUUCAUUCAAAAUUGAUAAAUAUAUAAUCAACAGCAGUACACAUGAAAUAAUUCUCCAUCUAUAUCUUGAAUUGAACAAAAAGUUUAAUGGUAUUCCAUGGCCUUAUAUUCAUGUGCGAUUGAAAGACUGAAUGAAUAUACUAAGAUAAUGUAACAGUAUUUAACUAAAACUAACUGCAGUUUAACAAUAAUGUACUUAUGAUGUAAUUGAUAGUACCACACUCUUACUUGUAACUUGUUUUCAUUUAUAUUCAAUAGAUAUUUCAAGUUUGAUAGCUAACUCAAAUUUCAAAUAUGAAUGAACAUUAAGUGUUUGCUGUUUUAAGACUCAAGAGUAGCUUUAUUUACAUAUGAGGUUUUUUGAGCUAAAUUGAUCAGCUUUGUAUGCUUAUGAAAUAAAUAUGUACACCUAUA